UACGUAGGGUGCAAGCGUUGUCCGGAUUUAUUGGGUUUAAAGGGUGCGUAGGCGGCCUAUUAAGUUAGUGGUGAAGACGUUCGACUUAACCGGAUACCCGCCAUUGAUACUGAUAGACUUGAGUGCGACAGAGGGUGUUGGAAUGUGUGGUGUAGCGGUGAAAUGCUUAGAUAUCACGCAGAACACCAAUUGCGAAGACAGAUGCCUAUGUCGUAACUGACGCUGAGGAACGAAAGCGUGGGGAGCAAACAGG
rnacentral:rRNA from 1 species